rnacentral:rRNA from 1 species
UGGGGAAUAUUGCACAAUGGAGGGAACUCUGCUGCAGCGACGCCGCGUGAACGAAGAAGGCUUUCGAGUCGUAAAGUUCUUUUAUAUGGGAAGAUAAUGACGGUACCAUAAGAAAAAGCCCCGGCUAACUACGUGCCAGCAGCCGCGGUAAUACGUAGGGGGCUAGCGUUGUCCGGAAUCACUGGGCGUAAAGGGUUCGCAGGCGGAAAUGCAAGUCAGGUGUAAAAGGCAGUAGCUUAACUACUGUAAGCAUUUGAAACUGCAUAUCUUGAGAAGAGUAGAGGUAAGUGGAAUUUUUAGUGUAGCGGUGAAAUGCGUAGAUAUUAAAAAGAAUACCGGUGGCGAAGGCGACUUACUGUGCUCAUUCUGACGCAGAGGAACGAAAGCGUGGGUAGCAAACAGG